rnacentral:rRNA from 1 species
UACGUAGGGGGCAAGCGUUGUCCGGAUUUAUUGGGCGUAAAGAGCGUGUAGGCGGCCAAGUAAUUCUGCUGUGAAAACUCGAGGCUUAACCUCGAGCUGUCGGCGGAAACUAUUUGGCUAGAGUCCGGAAGAGGAGAAUGGAAUUCCCGGUGUAGCGGUGAAAUGCGCAGAUAUCGGGAAGAACGCCCGUGGCGAAGGCGGUUCUCUGGGACGGUACUGACGCUGAGACGCGAAAGCGUGGGGAGCGAACAGG